CUGACGAACGUGACGUCAUUGUGUGUUUCACGAGAGUUUGCAAUAACCUAUACGAUUUUAAAACUUGAAAACAACAUUCUAUGUUUAUUGCGUGGUGUGUGUAGUUACGUGUUCUGUAACAGUCACUUAGCUGCUGCACGAAGAAUGCAAUUACAAAUACUUUUUAUUUCCGAAAACCUUCCGACAACCAAUAUUUUUUUCAAUAAGCGACAGGUCAUUAUGAGUGCGUAGAGACAACUGUUUUAUUGUACGAUAAAGACCAACCACAUGUCAUGAUGUUAGUAUCUGUCAUUUUCGUUACAACAACAAAAAAUGCAUUACAGAUCUGAAUGUAACUGCAGUAUUUUUUAAGUAAAAUACUCAUCCGCAAAUAAACGUUUCUGGAAAACAUGGCUGCCGAGAUGAACAUAUGAAUGAAAUUUCGUUUGUUGUUGAAGACAUAACCUAAAUAUACAGGAUUGAUGAACAAAAUGAAAUUUGAAUUGCGGAGAGAAGUAAAGUUGUAACUGAAUUUAGCGUUUUAUUCAGGCUAGUUGGACUCUAUACGGGACAAAAUGCCUAGAACAUACAAACCUAACCUAAGAGGUAAGCAGUAUGUUUCACAUUCAACAGAGGAAAUUCAGUAGGCCUUAAAAAGUAUUUCAAGAGGUCUGUCUUUAAGGAAAGCAGCUGAGAAAUGCAAAGUUCCCAAGCCGGUGCUGCAUAGAAAUAAGAAAGCCACUGAAUCAAAGACAACAGCUCUAAAAAUUGAUGGCCACUGUGUACUGCCCAAAGCUGUGGAACAUCACUUCGUGGAAUGCUUAAUGAUGUGAGCUGAAUGUGGUUACCCUCUAGAUGCCUAUGUUUUAAGGUGGGUAGUUAAGGUAUAUUUGG